GCCAGACAUGGGGCUCGAACUCACAGACCGUGAGAUCACGACCUGAGCUGAAGUCGGACGCUCUACCGACUGAGCCACCCAGGUGCCCCUUCUUUUUGUAGAUUUGAUGUGAAGUGCUGUGCGGUCUCUGGCUACAAACUUGGGUUCUCUCGUAGCAAAGUUGGCUCUAUCCUGGCUGCACCUUCAGGUCGCCUGAGCGCACAUCAUCAUUCCGGUGAUAUUUGAGCCCAAGACCUUGCCACCCCACUGCCGUCCCCUCCAGCACGGAUUCUACCUGGUUCAGCCCAACCCUUUGGGAAGAGACAAGAGGCCCAACUAAGAAGGCGAUUAAAAAUAGCCUGAUUAAAAAAAAGCCACGAUUAAAAAAGAGUUUGCUAAUAUGUCGGAAAGAAUCCAGUACUACAUACACGAUGCUGGUCCGCUGUUGACUUCUCUACCCUUUAAAAACUAUUGUUGCUGCUGACAAAGGCAAUAAUAAAAAUCGGUGGCUGCUGGGUUUGACUGUCUUUGUGUUUUAACUGUAGUGGGGGUUUCUGCCUGAGAAAGGCUAAGAGACAGAAGUUUGGUUUUCAUCACGCCCUCUGAGCUUCCGACCGAGCAUUUGGCCAUGUGCAGAGGUGGUGAAUUCUCCUCCCGAGUUUACCGACUGUUCCACUGGGGGGGUUAGGGAGGGCAGCUAUGGAGACAAACCAGAUACCCAAAGAGCUUGGGCUCAGAGAGCGUGUAUUUUGGUGGGAGAAGAAAAGAAUAGAGAAAUACGCAGGCACGGAAAUAAGAAAGUCUCAGAUGGCCUACCACACACGGGGGAUCUCUCGGAGCCCUUGACGGGGAUACGCUCGGACCCCUUCACCUCUAACUUGCCCCCCUUCUAGAAGCCGUCCCGUAAUCAGCCCUCUCCCUGUGAGCUCCUCUCCCCACCGCGCCCGACGGCAACAGUCCGGCCCCACUCCAUCUGGCAGCACCAGAUGGCUGAGGCUCCCUGGGCCUCAGUUUCCUCACGUAUAGAAUGGGUGUUUUAGCCUCAGUCUUCAGGGGCUUUUCUAUCUAACAGUUUUGAGGCCAAGCGGGGGUGGUGGUGGUGAAAUUGAGGUGGGGCAGGGGCAAAGGUGAAAGUUUUGUCUUCCCUCGAUGCCUAGAAAGAUGUGUGUGUUCUUUGGGGGAGACGUUUUAAGUUCCUGGAAGUCAGAGACCGCAUAUCUUCUCCCUUACCCUUUUUUUUUUUAACAGUACUAAUAUGGGGCUGAGAGCCCAGAAAACACCUGAUUAGGAGCUGCUUAACUAGCUAACUAACUAACUAACGAACUAACUAAUGUGUGUAUUUUCUUUCUCUCAUCCUUGCCACCUUCACAGCCACCAGACAGAGACGACUGGAUGCCAGGAGUUCUACCAUACGGUUGCAUACAUCACCUCACUGAAUCCUUGCUGUAACCGUGUAGAAGUUAAUAAAUGGCAGAACUGGAGUCAAAUCCAAGUGUAGACAUCCGAGUGGUCAAAAUGAAAAUCGUGGAAGCAUCAGGAAUACGAAUGGUGUUUGCGAUCCCCAGCUGCUGCCCUUGUAAGGAGAGGCCUUCGCUGCUGAAGAUGGUGAUGGACACUCAGGGUCACGCUUCGGCUUUACCUUUGACCUUCUCUGCCCGUCGCUGGACCGCGGCCCUGGCCUCCCCACGGAAGGGCGGAUCUCAGGUCUGGGGGCAGACUCUUCCUUGGAUGGUCCGCCCCCUGUCACAGAUGCUGCUCCUGUGUCUUUAGAAUCCGAACGAGGCCCUGUCUCAAGGGUGUCUCGAGGUCAGGACUAGUGACACGCGGGGCCAGAUCAUUCCCUGCUCUGUGGGGCUUUCCCGUGGACUGUAGGAUUCCCAGCCUCCCUGGCCUCUCCCCACCUGCUACCAGCAGCACCUUCAAAGUGGUAGCAGUAGAGAGUGUUUCCAGGCGUCGUAAAACGUCCCGAGGGAGGUGGACUCUCCUCUGACUGAGAACCGCUGCCUGGGUCACAAGUCUCCCCUUCGCAUCUCAUCCUACCCGUUUCUGUUUUCUCUCUCUUCGCAGCACCACGAGGUAACCAGGGUAUGUCUGUUGAAUGUGCAUCUGUUUGCCGUGUCUCUCUCUCUCUCUCUGGCUUGAAUGGACAGCCCAGAAGGGCGUGGGCUCUGUCUUGUUCCCUGCCAUGACUGUGACACCUACGACACUGUCUGAUAACACGGUGGCUGCUCAGUAAAUAUGAGCGAAUGAGUGGGUGGGAGGAGGCAGGGCUGGAGAAGGCAGGAGAAUAGUGCAAGACCCUGGACAGGAAAGGACAAGGUGUAAAGAGAGCAGGAGGGAGGGGCCCAAGAGGCCAGAGGCCGGAGACCCUGCGUGAGCAAGGGUGCUGGGUGAGGAGGCAGUUGGAGCCCCCGGGGGCCCUGUGGGGACAUGCUCUUUGGCACCCUGGCAGAGCUCUGCGGGGCGGCAGGCAGCACACCCCUCUCUUUGCCAAAGCCCCGGCAGUAUGUCUCUCCCUAUGCCGUGUCACGAGGUUUUGCUUUCCGAGAACGAAGGCAAGUUCUGUGUCCUGCCCCGUGGCCGGCACCUGCUGAGGACAGACCCCCCAAGAGCGCUCAACCCAAACCGGGUGACCCAGAUGAACACGUGGACCCGCAAGGAAUCUGCAUCGCAUCAAUGCCAGUGACCCUAAGCCCCGCUCGCUUCUCCGCGCGGAUUUUCUUUCAGGUUUCCUUGCUCCCCAAGGAGGCGUCGAGGCCCCCAAGAGGCUGGUAGCAGAGGUGAGACUAAUUACAUGGGUGUAAUGAACAGUGCAAAGCCCUGAGGAACAGAAACCACGGGCUCAUUCACAGUUAUUUUUGAGGACGGAAUUAUUUUGCUUUUGCUCAACUGGUUCAUUUAUUUAAAUUCAACGAGAUGAUGAUGGGUGUAAGAGUAUUGGUUGAAGUGCGGAGUUCCAUAAACUCCCCCGGGGGUGGUGGUGGGGGAGAGGGGUAAGGUGUCGAUCCUAUUGCUCUAAGAGGUAACCUGUCUGCUGUCUUUUAACAAAGUUCUGAACAGGAGCGCAGUCAGUGUUUGCUGGCCGCUGAAGUGAAAAGGGCUUUGUGCCCCGUGGGGAAGAGAUUCUGCACUGGUUACUAAUGAUUCCUUUCAAGGAAGCGGGGACCGUCAGCCCGUCCUUCUCCUGUCCCCCAGAGGGGGCGCCCCUGAGCUAGCUCGGGUGCCUUUCCCAGUUCCCCCCGGGGGCCAAAGAAGCUUCUGUCUGUGUGGCUUGUCCAAAAUAGCCGGCUCAAAGCGUGGAUCAACAACAGACUACGGAUGCAGGGCAUUGGGAAGAGAAGACAGGGGACCACUGAAGCUGUUUCAGGCCUCACGGAGUGCUCACAUACACCAGUGGCCUUUGAUGACAUUUUCCUGUUCCGUCUGAGAAACGGAAGGUCGUUUGAACAAAUGCAGAUCAAACUUGGCCGUUUAAUGUUCAGAAAGGAAAGGAAAACAAUGAGAUAAAAUAGCCCACCGUUGCGCAGAGUGCCAUCUUCUCUUGGGAAGAAUGAUUUUUGUAAUGGGUGCCCCUUGUAGAUGGAUAAAAGCAUGACAAAGAAAAUGAAAGUUCAUUUAUCCUUUCUCGUCUUCUCCAGGGGGCUGGGCCACUCCGUUGGGUCUUAACCUCCUUGGCUCUGAGCCAUGAUUCUGUCUGGGCGAUAAGGCCCUUCCUUUUCCACAGAAGCCACGCAUCUCAAAAAACGUGUGCCCUGAAAAUUCCAUCAACUAAGAAUCAGGUAGUGAUUUAAGUCUAGGGUUUAUAGCUUUUUACGGAGAGCCUGAAGCCCCAGCUCUGCUACUUACCCACGUACCGGAACUUUCUGAACCUCUAUUAUUUUAAAACCGGUGUGAAUGUCUGUAUCAUUGUUUGAUGGUGGGGGGGCUAAAUAGUAUAAUGUGUGAAUAAUAUGGAUCACAGUACACAGGAAGUGCUCCAUAAGUGGUCGUAAAAUUAUUAUCGUGUUUCCACGUUGGAUGUGUGUUCUUUCCCAUCGAGCACCUGCAGUCAAGUAAGGCCAGCGGGGCAACAAUAAAUGGUCUGGGAGAUAAUUGCAGAAACUAAACCACUGAGCUGUUAACUCAGUCUACUCCAGGAAAAGGACACGUCAGUUCGGAAGAUGUUCAUCAGAUGCCCACCUUCCGCCUUGAGGUAAAAAAUAUGCUUUGAGUCUCUCCUAUGCUCGUUCGACAUGAUGGGGAACACGUUUCUAAGUGGCGAUUUUGUGGGUCCUGAGUCUUCCCGAAACGUUGUUAAUGCUGAGUCAGAUACGACUAGAUAUCUACUCUGAAUUGUAGGCUACUUUGACCACGGGGUCGCGGCUGUAGGUUGGGGAUAAUAAGAUUAUAAUUUAUUAUUCCUCCCUGCUCCCUCGGUCCAAAGAUCCAGCCAUUUUUCCGAGUCCCCUUUCUCUCAACGACUGCCAUGCCAGGACCUACAUUGUGUCAAAGCAACUGACUCCUUCGUGACUCGGGGUCUUGUUAAUGGAGGGGGUAGUCAUGCAAACAUUCCAAAUAAAAUAUCUUUAGGCUGUGACGAGUAA